AUUGAACGCUGGCGGCAGGCCUAACACAUGCAAGUCGAACGGUAGCACAGAGAGCUUGCUCUCGGGUGACGAGUGGCGGACGGGUGAGUAAUGUCUGGGAAACUGCCCGAUGGAGGGGGAUAACUACUGGAAACGGUAGCUAAUACCGCAUAAUGUCGCAAGACCAAAGAGGGGGACCUUCGGGCCUCUUGCCAUCGGAUGUGCCCAGAUGGGAUUAGCUUGUAGGUGAGGUAACGGCUCACCUAGGCGACGAUCCCUAGCUGGUCUGAGAGGAUGACCAGCCACACUGGAACUGAGACACGGUCCAGACUCCUACGGGAGGCAGCAGUGGGGAAUAUUGCACAAUGGGCGCAAGCCUGAUGCAGCCAUGCCGCGUGUAUGAAGAAGGCCUUCGGGUUGUAAAGUACUUUCAGCGGGGAGGAAGGGAGUGAGGUUAAUAACCUUAUUCAUUGACGUUACCCGCAGAAGAAGCACCGGCUAACUCCGUGCCAGCAGCCGCGGUAAUACGGAGGGUGCAAGCGUUAAUCGGAAUUACUGGGCGUAAAGCGCACGCAGGCGGUCUGUCAAGUCGGAUGUGAAAUCCCCGGGCUCAACCUGGGAACUGCAUUCGAAACUGGCAGGCUGGAGUCUUGUAGAGGGGGGUAGAAUUCCAGGUGUAGCGGUGAAAUGCGUAGAGAUCUGGAGGAAUACCGGUGGCGAAGGCGGCCCCCUGGACAAAGACUGACGCUCAGGUGCGAAAGCGUGGGGAGCGAACAGGAUUAGAUACCCUGGUAGUCCACGCUGUAAACGAUGUCGACUUGGAGGUUGUUCCCUUGAGGAGUGGCUUCCGGAGCUAACGCGUUAAGUCGACCGCCUGGGGAGUACGGCCGCAAGGUUAAAACUCAAAUGAAUUGACGGGGGCCCGCACAAGCGGUGGAGCAUGUGGUUUAAUUCGAUGCAACGCGAAGAACCUUACCUACUCUUGACAUCCAGAGAACUUAGCAGAGAUGCUUUGGUGCCUUCGGGAACUCUGAGACAGGUGCUGCAUGGCUGUCGUCAGCUCGUGUUGUGAAAUGUUGGGUUAAGUCCCGCAACGAGCGCAACCCUUAUCCUUUGUUGCCAGCGGUCCGGCCGGGAACUCAAAGGAGACUGCCAGUGAUAAACUGGAGGAAGGUGGGGAUGACGUCAAGUCAUCAUGGCCCUUACGAGUAGGGCUACACACGUGCUACAAUGGCAUAUACAAAGAGAAGCGACCUCGCGAGAGCAAGCGGACCUCAUAAAGUAUGUCGUAGUCCGGAUUGGAGUCUGCAACUCGACUCCAUGAAGUCGGAAUCGCUAGUAAUCGUGGAUCGGAAUGCCACGGUGAAUACGUUCCCGGGCCU
rnacentral:rRNA from 1 species